GAGGAAGGUGAGGAUGACGUCAAGUCCUCAUGGCCCUUACGGGCUGGGCUACACACGUGCUACAAUGGCAGUGACAGAGGGAUGCGAGGGCGCGAGCCUUGGCAAAUCUCAAAAAGCUGUCUCAGUUCGGAUUGGGGUCUGCAACUCGACCCCAUAAAGUUGGAAUCGCUAGUAAUCGCAGAUCAGCACGCUGCGGUGAAUACGUUCCCGGGCCUUGUACACACCGCCCGUCACACCAUGGGAGUUGGCUUUACCUGAAGACGGUGCGCUAACCGCAAGGAGGCAGCCGGCCACGGUAGGGUCAGCGACUGGGGUGAAGUCGUAACAAGGUAGCCGUAA
rnacentral:rRNA from 1 species